GGCGGCAGGCCUAACACAUGCAAGUCGAGCGGCAGCACGGCAGUAGCAAUACUGUGGGUGGCGAGCGGCGGACGGGUGAGGGACACAUCGGAAUCUACCCUGUCGUGGGGGACAACGUAGGGAAACUUACGCUAAUACCGCAUACGACCUUUGGGUGAAAGCGGGGGACUCGCAAGGGCCCCGCGCGAUUGGAUGAGCCGAUGUCCGAUUAGCUAGUUGGCGGGGUAAUGGCCCACCAAGGCGACGAUCGGUAGCUGGUCUGAGAGGACGACCAGCCACACUGGAACUGAGACACGGUCCAGACUCCUACGGGAGGCAGCAGUGGGGAAUAUUGGACAAUGGGGGCAACCCUGAUCCAGCCAUGCCGCGUGGGUGAAGAAGGCCUUCGGGUUGUAAAGCCCUUUUGUACGGGAAGAAAAGCUGUCGGGUAAUAUCCGGUGGUCAUGACGGUACCGUAAGAAUAAGCACCGGCUAACUUCGUGCCAGCAGCCGCGGUAAUAC
rnacentral:rRNA from 1 species